rnacentral:rRNA from 1 species
AACGCUGGCGGCGUGCCUAACACAUGCAAGUCGAGCGCGAAAGGGGCUUCGCCCCUGAGUAGAGCGGCGGACGGGUGAGUAACACGUGGGUAACCUGCCUUCGGGUGAGGAAUAACCCAGGGAAACUUGGGCUAAUUCCGCAUGACAUCCCGAGCCCGCGAGGGUUUGGGAUCAAAGCUGGGGACCCUUCGGGGCCUGGCGCCUGAGGAGGGGCCCGCGGCCGAUUAGCUAGUUGGUAGGGUAAUGGCCUACCAAGGCGACGAUCGGUAGCCGGCCUGAGAGGGCGGACGGCCACACUGGGACUGAGACACGGCCCAGACUCCUACGGGAGGCAGCAGUGGGGAAUCUUUGGCAAUGGGGGCAACCCUGACCAAGCAACGCCGCGUGGAGGACGAAGACCCUUGGGUCGUAAACUCCUGUCGGACGGGACGAAUGCGGCUGGAGCGAAUAGCUCCGGUCGUUGACGGUACCGUACGAGGAAGCCCCGGCUAACUCCGUGCCAGCAGCCGCGGUAAUACGGGGGGGGCAAGCGUUGUUCGGAAUUACUGGGCGUAAAGGGCGCGUAGGCGGUCCGGUAAGUCCCUCGUGAAAUCCCACGGCUUAACCGUGGAAUGGCGGGGGAAACUGCCGGACUUCGAGUCCGGGAGAGGGGAGUGGAAUUCCCAGUGUAGCGGUGAAAUGCGUAGAUAUUGGGAGGAACACCGGUGGCGAAGGCGGCUCCCUGGACCGCGACUGACGCUGAGGCGCGAAAGCUAGGGGAGCAAACG